AGUGAACGCUGGCGGCAGGCCUAACACAUGCAAGUCGAGCGGGAACACACGAAUAUCUGCGUCGUACGGGUGGGUAACGCGGGAGGACGUGGGCUCACAUCGGGAUCUACUCAUGGGAACGUGAGAUCGUACCGGAAACGACCUUAUGACGGAAUGCUUGCUACCGGUGGAUCGGCGCGAGUCUGGUUAGCUGGGCGGUGGGGUAACGGCUCACCAAAGCGACGAUCUGUAGCUGGAAUGAGAGAAUGAUCAGCCACACUGGGACUGAGACACGGCCCAGACUCCUACGGGAGGCAGCAGUGGGGAAUAUUGGACAAUGGGCGCAAGCCUGAUCCAGCCAUGCCGCGUGAGUGAUGAAGUCCUUAGGGUUGUAAAGCUCUUUUAUCCGGGACGAUAAUGACGGUACCGGAGGAAUAAGCCCCGGCUAACUUCGUG
rnacentral:rRNA from 1 species